rnacentral:rRNA from 1 species
GAAUGUGAAUUUAACUUGCCAAUUUUUGGCGAAAUUAAAUACAACUUUCGACAACGGAUCUCUUGGUUCUCCCAUCGAUGAAGAACGCAGCGAAUUGCGAUAAGUAAUGUGAAUUGCAGAAUUCAGUGAAUCAUCGAAUCUUUGAACGCACCUUGCG